CCCAGAUUCAUGGCUUUCAGGCAAAGUGCCAACCUUCUUGGCAUACCUGGAAAAUAUUUUCUCACCACAAGACAAAUCUCAGUAGGACAACCCCUAACCAGUGGCCAGAAACUUUUUCUUCUGAAGGCAUUUAGUACAAAGUGUGAUACAGUGUAAAUAGCCACUGGCUUGUAGAAGACACAGAAAUUUCACAUUUUCUGCAAGCAAGAGUUUCAUUGUAAAGAUGUUUCUGGAAAGUGGAUUGGAUUUCAUCUCAUUACCUCUGGGACUUCAGGUUGGAGAUUUCAUAGUCACUUAAUCCUCCUAACAAUCAGAGAAGACCGAUGCUGCUAUAUCCUUAUCUCCACUUUGCAGAAAAUCAGGAGUGGUAAGUGAACUAACAAGAGUCCAACUUCAAGACAUUUCUGCUCUUCAAUAUGUCUCUCCAGAAGACCCCUGCUACAGACUACAUAUUGUGUCUCCUUAUGCUGAAACUCUAACCCUCAGUGCAUUGGGAGAUGGGCAAGUAAUUAGGUCAGGAGGGUGGAACCAUCAUGCUGGGAUUAGUGCCCUUGUAAGAAGAAACACCAGAGACUUUGUUUUAUCCCUGCUUUCCACCAUGUAAGUACAAAGCAAGAAGGCACUAAUGCACACCAGGACAAAGGCCCUCAUCAGGAGCCAUACUGCCUGGCACUUGGAUCUUGGACUCUCUAGGCUUUUAGAAGUAUAAUAAAUAAAUGUUUAUUGGUCAAGCCAUCUAGUAUUUUGCAGCAGAAUCUUUACUGCUGCACUGAGCCUAUGUAAGAUGAUCCCGGUUCAUUCCAGACUUUCUGAGUAUAAUCUUGCAAUGAAGUACUGUUUUGACACCAUCUUGAGAGGAAGAACAAAAAGUUUUUUAAAGAUAAAAAAGUUGGCAGCCUCCUGGGUCUGGAAGGAGAAAGAUAAGGAUUUUUUUUUUCCACCAAAGGGAAAUCAAUUUGCCCUCUCCAUGGCAGUUAGUCUCAAACAGAAUAUGUAGAAGAAUCACCAUGGGCAUGUUGAAGAAAUGUUAUUCCUGGGCCUACUUCCAUUCUGAUGCAGGACCAGGGAACAUGAAUUUUAAGUGGUUAUGAGGCAGGCAAUGUCCACCACAUGUGAAGAAAAAGUGUUCUAAGAAGAGACCUAAAUUUAUGGAUGUGAAACAGUUGAAGUCCCAAUGGUGUCUGGUUUAGGUACUUAUCCAAAUUACUCCUUAGAGACAGAUACACUAGUAACCUUUGUCACAGUUUGAAAGAAAAUGAAUGUCUGUAUGGCACAGAUGUGCCUCCGGGGAAGUCUGGCUGGUAGGCUUCCAAGAGGUCUCCCGAAAGGGUAUUUAGCUGGAGAAGUUUUCUCGAGGGGCUGGUGCCAGUUUAUGAUCCCAGGAAAUUCGUUUGUCAUUAUGCAGUCUCGGAGGCACCGACCCCUUAACCAUACUCUUGACUAUCUGACUUGUAAACCAUUUUAAGGGAGAAAUAUGACUAUUAAGCAUGUAGGUUGUUGGUGCUGGCCAGAUCAACUGGCUGCCAAUCACAUGAUAAGAUUUGGCACUGAGGUUUCAGGUGGCUGAUUCCAGGGCUUCCUGGCACCAGAUUCAGAGAACCGGAAAGACAGGUAUACCCUACUCCACAGGUGGGAUCUAUGAAUUAGGAGGAAGCAUAUGCCUGUCCCCAAGAGGAGGGUGUAAGUCUCCAAUCUGGCCUGACUCUCCCAGCCCUCAGCCUGCUUGCCAGCAGAAGCAUUACUCUCUGCAGGGGACGCAGCUCAGCACUGAAGCUGUCAUCCGCAAGCACAGGAAAGGAGGUAAGAUAGGAUAAGAAAAUUUGCAGGUCCUGGGGACAUCUGGAGACACCCCAAAAUUUACAAGGGACACAUCAAAGGACUCUGCUCCCCACGAUGCAAGAUUGCCAGAAAACUUUAACCAGAGAUGCUCAUUGGGAUCUUCCCACCUAAUGUCCCGUGCCCUCUCUCCAACCCUAUACUUUUAUAGGGCUCUCUUUAUUUGGGGCAGGAGGUCUUAUGGUGGGUGCUCUCUGCCUCAACCCAGACACAGUAAAUUCCAUGCCAUGUUGCCUUUGCCCUAGCCUGGUGGUCUUUGCUGCUUAUUUACCUUACAGAGAGUAUUGUGACUUUUUAAAAUCAGCAUGAAGAAGGAAGUAAGCUAACACCAAGUACAUAUUAGGCUCACUGUGCUUUAUCUGUGGAUAAAAACAAUGCCCACGUGAUCCAGUUACCUUUCUAGGCUUCACCUCUGAACAUCACUGCUUUAGGGAUCCAGUCCACAGUAUGUGAGCAUUUGGGGGACACUUUGUAUUUAAAUCACAAUACUCUGUGAAUCUCGGUUUAUCUCUCCGUAGAGAUUACAUUAUAACACCGGCAUGGCAGAUUGAAAGGAUCAGAUGUUAUUAUUUAAAUUGAGUAGCAUAGGCUAUCAUGGCUUCCCUUACGAUAGCCCACCUUGCUUUCUUCAGGGUUUAUUUUAUCUUGCACUUGCUCCCUCUUACUUGGCCCCAGCUCACUCUGCAGAACCAGUUUCUCUCUUACUCUUCACUUUUACAUUUUCAAAUAAACUGUACUACUGCUUUUUUGCUUGUUUCAUUCAAUUUGUUAUUUGAGACAAGAAGAACCUGGAAUCUAACUUCAGAAGGAGAGGGGAACAACCCAGAACCCGAUAACAUUUAUUUGGUGAGCCACUUUGACAAGGAGCUACCCAAAAAUAUUUUGGCAUAGCCAGUCAGGAGAAUCAAAAGCCAGGAGAUUCUGAUAACAUUUUGGUGCAGCCAGCCGGGAGUAAAGCUCAGGUACCAGAGAUCCAGCACAGUGGCUUUUCUCCACAUGGAAGAGAAAAAAAAAAUGUAUCCAUUUAAAAGGAAAUGCUCAAGGAUUUUGCCAAGUCCCAGCAGUUAGCCACUCUUGUGAGUAAGUCAUUUCCUGGACCUAUGCAAGUAGGCAGGACAUCAGUGAUCUGCUCCUCCAAGACCCUGAAGAGGUAUGGUUUAGUGAUGGAAGUAGCUUUGUCCCAGGACAUCAAAAGGCAGAUUAUGCAGUUGUCAGUUCAUGAUAGAUCAUUGAAGCUAGACUUCUUCCAGGAACUUCUGCUCAAAAGGCAGAGCUAAUACCUCUUACUCAGGCAUUUUUGUUAGGAAAAGGAAGAAGGUUAAAUAUGUAUACAUACUCUAAAUAUGCCCUUCUGAUACUACAUGCCCAUGCAGAAAUCUGGAAGGAAAGAGGCUUACUGACUAAACUGUCAUCUAUCAAGCAUAGGUAAGAAACUCUACAACUUCUCAGGCAGUCUAUCUUCUUAAGCAGAUUGCAGACAUACAUUGGAAAGGGCGCUAAACAGACAUGUCUGAAGUCUCCAUGGGAAGUCAAAAGGGAAGCAAAAAGAUAGAGAAGGAAAAAGGUCAGCCUUACAGCUCCUUAAGAUGGUAGCCUUAUUCCUAGUCCUUGAGGAACCAUUUAAACCACACUAUACUCCCCAGGAAAAUAAAUGAGUCUCAGGACAAGGGGGAAUUAAAAAAGGACUCUAGUGGUACUUAGAAAUCAAACUGGUCCUUCCUCAAGGGACACAGUGGAGGGCCAUAAAACACUUCACAAUUCCUUCCAUAGGGAAAGAGGUGCAACACAGAAAAUGGUCAAAAUUUCACAGGCCUUGACUAGUGGCAACUAUCUAACAGGUCUGCAAAGCUUGUCCACUCUGUGCUUACAAUAACCCAGGUAAGCCCAAACCACUUCCUUCAUUAGAACCUGUACAAAGGACAGGCAAAAAACUUGGAGAGGACUGGCAACUGGACUUUACUCAUGGGCCACCAUGUAGAGAAUUUAAACAGAAGUUGGUCCUAAUUGACACCUUCACAGGAUGGACUGAAGCUUAUCCUACCUGUCAGAAAAGGCUCAGAAAAUCCUGAGGUAGUCUAGGUGCUUCUUAAAGAAGUUAUCCCUAGCUCUGGACUACCUUAGUCCCUCCAAAGUGACAACAGACCUUCUUUUACCUCCCAAAUAACUCAGAGGGUGGCAAAUGCUUUAGUAAUAAAGUAACACCUCCACUCCUCCCAGCAGCCUCAAUUUCUGGGAAGGUAGAGAGAGCCAACCAGACUCUAAAGGGAGUUUUGGAAAAACUUUGCAAGAGACAUCUGAAUCUUGCUCCAACUGAGCCAAUAGCACUCAUGAGGGUUUGUAACAUGCCCCAAACUGGGCUAAGUUUGAGCCCAUUUGAGAUGUUGUAUGGGAGGCCAUUUUUAUCUUCUGAUGUGACAGGAGACCCAGAGACCACGAGGCUCCUAUAAGAUCUCAUUAGUCUGGGCUAUGUACAACAAGGCAUCCAAAUGUAUGGAAACAGACUCCUACCAGCUCCUGGCCAAAAAGGACCACCUACUGUCUGUGUUGGAGACAAAGUGCUUAUAAAAAUUUGGAAUGAGGGGACACCUGUUGAUCAAUUAAAACCCAAAUGGAAGGGUUCCUUCUCAGUAAUCCCUGCCACACCUAUUAUACAGUAAAGGUGGUAGAGAUAAAUAAUUGGGUUCAUCUUUGUAGAAUAAAGCCAGUCCCAUCUGAGCUGUCUAAAGAACAUACACCACCCAAAAGAAGAAAGCAAUUCCUGUGAACCUCUGGAACCCUUAAGAUUUCUUUUCAAAAAGCAAGACACUAGUGUUGCUACAAGGAAACAUGGAAAUCUGACUUACUCCUCUUAUUUGGGCUAAUAGUGAAGGUCAACGGUCAUUAACUCUUUCCUUAUUGUUUUCUGACAGGUUUUUCAUUCUUCAAUACAGCACCAAUGAGCCACAGCACCCCCAGAUAGUUGGAGAGCACAUAAUCCCCAGAUGGUCAGACCUACAGCCCCUUUCAGCUUGAAGAAACUAUAGAAGACUUCUACUCCCUCAGCACCCCAUAAAGAAUUAUGGGGACUUGUGUCUCUUGAGAAAUGACAUAGGAGAUUAGGGUGUGGCAAAGCUGGCUGGGGAGGUGUGACCUGUCAAUAUCCCACAACACAUGAGCAGAAAAGGUCCCAAAUCCCUGAAUGUGGACUUCUUAUAAGAACUCAAGCAGAUUUUCAAUAAGAUGGCCUAGACCUGACACCAGCCUGAGAUGUGUAUUGUAGUUUAGAGUUUUGUAAGGGGAACAAUAUAAUACAGGUCACAUAUUUUAUAAGAUUAUUUAUAAUACUCACCCAAAGAAUCAUAUA